rnacentral:rRNA from 1 species
UGGUAAUUCUAGAGCUAAUACAUGCUAAAAACCUCGACUUCGGAAGGGGUGUAUUUAUUAGAUAAAAAACCAAUGCCCUUCGGGGCUCCUUGGUGAAUCAUAAUAACUUUACGAAUCGCAUGGCCUUGCGCCGGCGAUGGUUCAUUCAAAUUUCUGCCCUAUCAACUUUCGAUGGUAGGAUAGUGGCCUACCAUGGUUUCAACGGGUAACGGGGAAUUAGGGUUCGAUUCCGGAGAGGGAGCCUGAGAAACGGCUACCACAUCCAAGGAAGGCAGCAGGCGCGCAAAUUACCCAAUCCCAAUACGGGGAGGUAGUGACAAUAAAUACUGAUACAGGGCUCUUUUGGGUCUUGUAAUUGGAAUGAGUACAAUUUAAAUCCCUUAACGAGGAACAAUUGGAGGGCAAGUCUGGUGCCAGCAGCCGCGGUAAUUCCAGCUCCAAUAGCGUAUAUUAAAGUUGUUGCAGUUAAAAAGCUCGUAGUUGAACCUUGGGCCUGGCUGGCCGGUCCGCCUCACCGCGUGCACUGGUUCGGCCGGGCCUUUCCUUCUGGGGAGCCGCAUGCCCUUCACUGGGUGUGUCGGGGAAC